rnacentral:rRNA from 1 species
UGAUUAGCUAGUUGGUAAGGUAACGGCUUACCAAGGCGACGAUCAGUAGCCGACCUGAGAGGGUGAUCGGCCACAUUGGAACUGAGACACGGUCCAAACUCCUACGGGAGGCAGCAGUGGGGAAUAUUGCACAAUGGGCGAAAGCCUGAUGCAGCAACGCCGCGUGAGUGAUGAAGGCCUUCGGGUCGUAAAACUCUGUCCUCAAGGAAGAUAAUGACGGUACUUGAGGAGGAAGCCCCGGCUAACUACGUGCCAGCAGCCGCGGUAAUACGUAGGGGGCUAGCGUUAUCCGGAUUUACUGGGCGUAAAGGGUGCGUAGGCGGUCUUUCAAGUCAGGAGUGAAAGGCUACGGCUCAACCGUAGUAAGCUCUUGAAACUGGGAGACUUGAGUGCAGGAGAGGAGAGUGGAAUUCCUAGUGUAGCGGUGAAAUGCGUAGAUAUUAGGAGGAACACCAGUUGCGAAGGCGGCUCUCUGGACUGUAACUGACGCUGAGGCACGAAAGCGUGGGGAGCAAACAGGAUUAGAUACCCUGGUAGUCCACGCUGUAAACGAUGAGUACUAGGUGUCGGGGGUUACCCCCUUCGGUGCCGCAGCUAACGCAUUAAGUACUCCGC